rnacentral:rRNA from 1 species
UACGUAGGCAGCGAGCGUUGUUCGGAGUUACUGGGCGUAAAGGGUGUGUAGGCGGUUUUCUAGGUUUGGUGUGAAAUCUCCCGGCUCAACCGGGAGGGUGCGCCGAAAACUGGGAGACUAGAGUGCGGGAGAGGAGAGUGAAUUCCUGGUGUAGCGGUGAAAUGCGUAGAUAUCAGGAGGAACACCGGUGGUGUAGACGGCUCUCUGGACCGUCACUGACGCUGAGACACGAAAGCGUGGGUAGCAAACAGG